AUGCAUCUGAGAGGAAACAGGCUGGUUUUAUUCUUCAUUGUACAAAUGGCUGCUGAUUUGGUUCUGUGCCAGCUCCAUUACAUGAUUCCUGAGGAAUCCAAACACGGCACCUUUGUUGGGAGAAUUGCUCAGGACCUGGGGCUGCAGAUCAGUGACAUUAACUCCAGAGGGCUACAGAUUGUCUCUAAGGAUGGAUCAGAUUAUUUCCAGGUAAAUGUGAAAAAUUGAAUUUUAUUUGUCAAUAGAAUGAUAGACAGGGAAGCUCUGUGUCCUGAAAUCAGUGUUUGUAUUGUGCAACUGGAAGUUAUAGUUAAUAAACCUGUACAGAUUCACCAUGUAGAUGUAGAGAUUGAAGAUAUAAAUGACAAUUAUCCAGUAUUCCCUGCUAAAGAAUAUAAUCUGCUAAUUGCUGAAUCAAGGCUGCCAGGAUCUCAUUUCCCACUAGAGGGAGCAGUUGAUGCUGACGUUGGAACUAAUUCUGUUACAGGCUAUGAACUCAGCCCAAGGGAUUAUUUUACUGUAGACGUUCAGUCAUAUACUCAUAAAAGUAAAUAUGUUCAACUUGUAUUAAAGAAGCAGCUAGACAGAGAACAUAUACCCCUUUACAAUCUAACACUUCUGGCAUUUGAUGGGGGCAAAGCUAAGUUGAGUGGAACGACCAAGUUGCUCAUUACAGUUCAAGAUGUUAAUGACAAUGCUCCAGUGUUUGGUCAACAAGUUUACAGAGCCAGUUUGUUGGAAAAUGCACUUACUGGAACAUUUGUCAUCAAAGUAAAUGCAACUGAUUUAGAUAUGGGAGAAAAUGGCGAAAUCAUGUAUUCCUUUAAUAAACUGGUUCCUCAACAUGUGAGAUUAAUAUUCAGAAUAGAUGAAGACAUGGGGAUAAUUCAAGUUGCUGGGGAAAUUGAUUAUGAAAAGGAAAAUCUGUAUGAAAUAGAAGUUGAUGCCUCUGACAAAGGCCCAUACACCAUGACCGGCCACUGCAAAGUCUUAGUGAACAUACUGGAUGUGAAUGAUAAUCCACCAGAGAUGACUGUGUUGUCACUGAAUGUUCCUGUUCCUGAGGAUUCACCACCAGGAACAGUAGUUGCCGUUAUCAGUGUCUACGAAAGAGAUUCAGGUCAAAAUGAAAAAGUCAAUUGUCAUAUUUCUAAAAAUGUUCCCUUCAAGAUAUCUCCUACACUGAGGGAAUAUUACUCACUGAUGGUGGAUGGACCAUUAGAUCGGGAAAGAACAUCAGAAUAUCAUCUUGACAUUACGGCUUCAGAUGAAGGUUUUCCAAGUCUUUCCAUCACUAAGUCAAUUUAUAUUCAAAUAAGUGAUGUGAAUGACAAUGCUCCAACUUUCCAUCAAGGUUUGGAGACAAUAACCAUCAAAGAAAACAACCCACCAGGAUCUCAUGUCUACACAGUAUCAGCCUCUGAUUCAGAUACCGGCCAUAAUUCCUUUAUUACAUAUUCACUAAGUGACAGUUCCAUAGAUGGAAUACCCAUAUCUUCCUAUAUCUCUGUCAAUCCUGAAAAUGGGAAAAUAUUUGCUUUGCUGUCAUUUGACCAUGAACAAGUUCGAUAUUUCCAGUGCCAAAUAAAAGCUACAGACGCAGGACUGGCUCCUCUAAGUGGCAAUCUCACCCUGCACAUUUUUAUAGAGGAUAUUAAUGACAAUGCUCCAUCUGCUCUGGCUCCAUUUUCUAGCACUGAAUCAGCAGUAAGUAAGAUGGUUCCAAGAUCGUCUAAAGUAGGUCAGUUGGUGACUAAAAUUAAAGCAGUUGAUCCAGAUUCAGGAUAUAAUGCUUGGAUUUCAUAUGAGUUUAAAAAUCUUCCACGACAAUCGCCAUUUUCUAUUGGUCGCCAGAAUGGGGAAAUCACUAUCACUCGCUCCUUUAUGGAUUCAGACAGUGACCAACACAAAUUGUCCAUUGAGCUGAAAGACCAUGGGGAACCAAAAAUGUCUUCACUAGUGACUAUAAUUAUCUUACUGGUGGAACCUGGACAGGAGAUUCCAGUAGAAAGAAAGAACCAUAAAAGAAAGGAUGAUGAUUUUUCAGAUGCCAAUAUUUAUCUGAUCAUGUCUAUUUGCCUGAUCUCCAGUGUAUUCCUAAUUACCCUCAUUGUUUAUACUGUGCUAAGGUGGCAGAAAUACACCCAAGAAAUCGAUGCUCUCAAACAAAAUACAAUUUGUCCGAGCAUAGCAGGGAGUUGGACCUACACUCAGCAAAGACAGUAUAAGGUCUGUUUAAAUGGAGCUUCACCUAAAAAUAAUUUGAUACUUUUCACUCCAAAUUUCCCUCAAUCCGCAAUAGAGGACUCUAACACUGGGAGUCUGGCUUCUGAUUCCGCUGGGAAGGUGAGAGACCAUAAGUAUUUGUGA